rnacentral:rRNA from 1 species
CUUGGUCAUUUAGAGGAAGUAAAAGUCGUAACAAGGUUUCCGUAGGUGAACCUGCGGAAGGAUCAUUACAGUGUUCGCUGCCCCCACGGGUAGCAAACCUCACCCUUGUGUAUUAUAUCUUUGUUGCUUUGGCACGCCGCCUUCGGGCGUCGGCUCCGGCUGAUAGUGCCUGCCAGAGGACCCAAACUCUAUGUUUAGUGAUGUCUGAGUACUAUAUAAUAUUUAAAACUUUCAACAACGGAUCUCUUGGUUCUGGCAUCGAUGAAGAACGCAGCGAAAUGCGAUAAGUAAUGUGAAUUGCAGAAUUCAGUGAAUCAUCGAAUCUUUGAACGCACAUUGCGCCCCUUGGUAUUCCGAGGGGCAUGCCUGUUCGAGCGUCAUUAUAACCACUCAAGCCUGGCUUGGUAUUGGGGCUUUCGCGUGUUCGCGGCCCUUAAAACCAGUGGCUGUGCCGUCUGGCUUUAAGCGUAGUAAUACUUCUCGCUAUAGGGUCCAGUCGUCCACCGGUCAGAACUCCCCAACUUUCUUAGGUUGACCUCGGAUCAGGUAGGGAUACCCGCUGAACUUAAGCAUAUCAAUAAGCGGAGGA